rnacentral:RNase_P_RNA from 1 species
GAAGCUGGCUGGGCAGCCGCCGCGCGCCUUUGGUGCGGGGAGGAAAGUCCGGGCUCCGCAGAGCAGGAUGCCGGCUAACGGCCGGAGGCCGUGAGGCCAUGGAAAGUGAUACAGAGACUCAGACCGCCGAAGUGCUGCGUCAGCAGCGCUGGCAAGGGUGAAAAGGUGCGGUAAGAGCGCACC